UAGUCAUAUGCUUGUCUUAAAGACUAAGCCAUGCAUGUCUAAGUAUAAGUAUUAUACAGCGAAACUGCGAAUGGCUCAUUAAAACAGUUAUAGUUUAUUCGAUUAUUUGCCCCCUACAUGGAUAACCGUAGUAAUUCUAGAGCUAAUACAUGCUGUCAAACCUGACUUUUGCGGAAGGGUUGUAUUUAUUAGAUAUAAACCAAUACUCCUUUACGGGAGUGUUGUGAUGAUUCAUAAUAACUGAGCGGAUCGCGGCCUUGCCGCGACGAAUCGUUCAA
rnacentral:rRNA from 1 species